rnacentral:lncRNA from 1 species
UUUUGUAAAUUUAAUUAGUAAAUAUAUAGCCUCAUUUUCAUUAUUGAUGGUCACAUGACCUAACCCUUGCACAAAAUCUUCAUGCAAAGGCUGAUUCACUGUGCUAUCCACAUGGUCACUUGGCUGUCUGCAAAUCUCUCCGUAUGGCAACACAAAUUUUCUUAAACCUCAUCGAUGGACCGAGUCAUGUCAACGAUAAUAAGCCAAUGACUUGUCACCGACUACCGAAAAUCGUAACAUUAAUAAAUCCCUGUCGAUGCGA